CAGUAGCCACGGUAAUACGUAGGGUGCGAGCGUUAAUCGGAAUUACUGGGCGUAAAGCGUGCGUAGGCGGUUUGUUAAGUCUGCUGUGAAAUCCCCGGGCUCAACCUGGGAAUGGCAGUGGAUACUGGCAAGCUAGAGUGUGUCAGAGGAUGGUGGAAUUCCCGGUGUAGCGGUGAAAUGCGUAGAGAUCGGGAGGAACAUCAGUGGCGAAGGCGGCCAUCUGGGACAACACUGACGCUGAGGCACGAAAGCGUGGGGAGCAAACAGGAUUAGAUACCCCCGUAGUCCCUGUCUCUUAUAC
rnacentral:rRNA from 1 species